rnacentral:lncRNA from 1 species
AAAUCAUUAGAGCUGAAAGCAAAUUCAAUUUCGAGAAGUAGCAAUCAGUUGUAUAGCUGGUUAAACCAUGCAUUAUACAUAUGCUAAAUGGUUCAAAAUGAAGGGGACACAGUUUUGAUAAUGGCAUACAUUCUGUCCAAAAGUGGAGGUACAGUUCCUCGCAGGGUAAGGUUGAGCUAACGUCUCUGACAGGUGGCGGCGGUCGUUGACAAUCAGUCUACAGGCGAUGAAUGACAGCUUCUAUUAAAAAAGUAAAAGACAUUGGCAAAUAGAGAAGAGAGCUCCCCAGUUCCAGACGAUCUGUCUAAGCCCUUAAAACUGCAACAACCAGAGGAGCAGCGACGAUCAGGCCUCCAUCUAAAGUGUCUGAAAAUAACAUGAACGAAAUCCAAAUGAGUUCACACAACUUGAUGUUUCACAAGUGUUAGCAACAACCAAAAGAAAAAUUGGCCCAAAACUUGACUAAACGUCUAGAAAGAAGCAUUUCAUCCACAUCUGAAACUUAAGAAAGAUCUCUGACCAAGGUCAAUAGCUUCUGAUCCUUUCAUUAUAAAAAACAAUAGGCAUGUUUUAGACAUAUAAGUGCUGGUUGCUUCUAAGUAAUAUGCGCCUUUUUUAAGAUGCACACUCAAACGUGUUAGACAGUGCUUAUUGGUUAUCAAGGUCGAGCAAUGUUGGCAGAUCAUGAACCAGCCAGGGAUAGCUAGAAAAGAUGCUAAGAUCAUGAGCUAGCUGUGUGUACAUAUGAGAGAGAUGGUACCUUCACGAUCUAGUCGAGCGACCCUUGCCUCUCCUGAGAUUAUUGGUGAGGAUCAAAAGUAAGAAAUAUAUCCCUCAGUAAAAGGCCCAAACGGCUUCCUCCUAUGCAGUAUUGCACCAUUAUUAUUAUUUGUGGGAAAGGUCUAGAGUUAUGGUAAAUAUCUCAUGUCUUCUAUUCUCAUGUAAAUAAGAAUUAUUGUGACCUUGAACCUUAGGCAUAUUGAUAACUCAACUCUUGCUUUUCUGCUUCAGAAUAUAUAUAAAGUUGUACGCCUUUAUUUGUUAAAAUAAAAUCAAACUGAUUAUUUAUUGAUCAUUAACUAAUACCUCACUUAGAGAUACUACGUAUUGUUGCCAAAAUCUUAUUUUAAAUACAACCAAGAUGAACAGAAAUAAAUCUCAACUUACUUUUGGUGGAAACACGCUUGUCCUAAUUGAUCAUUCCUUGAGACAGUGAUCUGCUCAACAUAUCGCAAGUCAAUAUGCAACCACAUAAGCAUCGGCAUCAAAACAACACGAGGAAUGAAAUGUUUGAUAUCUCAAACAGAGAGCAAUCAGUACUACAGAUCUGUCGCUAACCAGCCUUCCAAUGCAUGCAUAUUUGUAUAACAUUGUCUGCACCAUUUAUGCUUUUCACGUCCCUCAUUGCUGCAACACAUAUGCUGCUAAGUCAGAUCCAACUAAAUAAAUAAUACAUGUAUCUGUUUGAACUGUCACAACUGACAAUAAAAAUAGACUUUAUAUGAACCAG